rnacentral:rRNA from 1 species
UAAUAGCGUAUAUUAAAGUUGUUGCAGUUAAAAAGCUCGUAGUCGGAUGUCGGGCUCGGGCAGGCUGUCGGCUUCGGUCGGACGGCAGGCUCGGGUCUUUCUGCCUGAGGAUCCCGUUGCACUUAAUUGUGGGGCGUGGGGACGCAGGCCGUUUACUUUGAAAAAAUUAGAGUGUUCAAAGCAGGCCUACGCUUGAAUACAUUAGCAUGGAAUAAUGGAAUAGGACUUUGGUGCUAUUUUGUUGGUUGAGCCUAAAGUAAUGAUUAAUAGGGAUAGUUGGGGGCACCUGUAUUGCGUUGUCAGAGGUGAAAUUCUUGGAUUUACGCAAGACAAACAGCUGCGAAAGCGUCUGCCAAGGAUGUUUUCAUUA